rnacentral:rRNA from 1 species
UACGUAGGGUGCGAGCGUUAAUCGGAAUUACUGGGCGUAAAGCGUGCGCAGGCGGUUUUGUAAGACAGGCGUGAAAUCCCCGGGCUCAACCUGGGAAUUGCGCUUGUGACUGCAAGGCUAGAGUGCGGCAGAGGGGGGUAGAAUUCCUGGUGUAGCGGUGGAAUGCGCAGAUAUCAGGAGGAACACCAAUAGCGAAGGCAGCUCGCUGGGACGUUACUGACACUGAGGCGCGAAAGCGUGGGGAGCGAACAGG